rnacentral:lncRNA from 1 species
CAACGGCUGGGAGAGGAAACUUGAUGCUUCUGGGCCACCAUUUGCCAGGGCCUCGCUCGAGCCGGCGCCUCGGUUCCUGCCCAGCUGGAUUUGGGGGGCAGCAUUGCCUGGCGCAGGGAGAUCAAAUGAGACUGCAAAGAAGCAUAAAAUGAAUAGACAAUCCAACCAACCAAAGACCGGGGGCAGCAGCAGGCCAGCAAGACGGCAUCUUCUCCUUCCCAGCCUAGAAGCCCUGUGAAAUCGAGGAUCUUCCCCCUAAAACACAUACACACAAGAUAUGUGCAAUCAAGCUGCCACCGCUUGGUAAAAAGCCAUGGUGCCUAACCAAAAAGGAUCAGGAACAGAUCCUUGAAUCAGCUGUCACUUCUAUAGAAUGGGAUUUUUUUUUCCUUCCUCCUUAACCUGCGCUGGAAAUUGCCGUUGGCUUUAUACAUCUCUAUAGAGAGAGGCUAAAGAGUCUUGCGUGAGAAAGAAGCAAUUUACAAUGCAAAUAGAGGCCUGUGAAGGGACGGAUGCUGCUGCUCACUCGUAACAGCUUGCUGCACCUUAAUAGCUGGUUUUAUUUUCUGAUAUUAAUAGAUGAAUUGUUGGCUAACGCUGCCGGAGAUUACUUGCUGAAAGGAAAAAGAAAAGUUCGGAAUAAACUCUGAAGGCAACAGAUCUCGUUUGGAUGUUUUAGCCGCGCACACACACAAACAGAAACCAGGUCAUAUUUACAUAAAAGGAGGAAUCUUAAGCGCGGCAAGUAUCCUGGACGACCACUCUUCGGUACUGCCAGAAAGGAUCAGGACCUGGAGUCUGGCAAGAGGAAGACAGAGGCCUGUGUGGGAAGCGAGUUGUUAUCUUUGGUUAUCUAGCUGUAUGAGUGUAUUGGUCUUCAUAAAGCUAGAUAACCGAAAGUAAAAACUCCUUCAAGAUCGCCGGGGAGCGUGUGAGAAUGAAAGACUACAGCCGAGAGACAGUAAAAACCAGAAAGGUCAGGAAUACUUAUUGAAUCUAACUUUGUUUUUGUUUUGUUUUUUUCCUUAUGAUUAAAGGUGGGAUGAGAGAAAAUUAAAUGACACACACAUGCUAAAAUAUCAAGGUUCCAGAUAUGUCUUGAGAGGGGUUGUUGCAGCUGCAAAGGAGAAGUGUAUAGUGAUAAUGAGUAAAGAUGCAUGUGCAGUUUGUUCUAUUUUAAGGCAAAAGUUAUAUCAGGGAUUUUUUUCUUAGAAAGGUGUUGCAGAGAUGUCUGGUACCUAGUUUAAAAAUGAUUCCAUAAUAUGUAGACUUGGGCAGUUCCUUUGGGAGGCACCUCCCUCUCAAAAUUUGAAGAUUGUGCUUGGAAAUUACUUUACAUGUAUUUGGGCUGUAUGUCAAUUUGUACGAAAUUAGACUUUCAGAAAAGUUUAUACUGGAAGGUUAAUAAUUUGUAUCUACUGAGGACUUAGAGCUAGCAGGCAAAAUGAAAAAAAAAAAAAAAAAAGCAAGGGCUGAUUUUUAUUCUUCUAUUCAAAAUACAAGGACAGAUGCUUCUCUGUUCCAAGAGGGUUUCCUUGAGGAAGCUACUGAAGCAGAAAGACAUGAUGGAGACGAGAUCGCCUCCCCUCUUGUCAAAGUGUUAAAAAAAUGUUCUGUCUUACUCUGCGCCUAGCAUUGGAAAUGAAAGUGACAUUUACGCCACAACCCACGUGUGCGCCUCCUCUCUUUUUGUUUAAGGAUGAUCAGGUCUAUCCAGGAAACAGCUCUGGCAUCCCAAACUGAAAUAAUUAGGACGUAUAUAGACCUGACAAAAAUGGAAAGGGGGUGGGGAAUCUGAGGGUCUGUCUUGCCUAAUUGAUUCCGCUAAACGGAAUGCAGGAGAUGUGAACGGCAGGACGCUCCGAUUCCCACGCUCGGGGGCAAGUGAUAAAGCGGGGCCGGGCAGCCUAUGACAGACAGCCCUGUUGGGGGGUGGGGGUAUGAAAAAAACAUCAAGUGCACACACCAUACUCAUCUCCAUCGCUUAAGAAAGUAAAGGCAUUUCCCACCCACAGCCAUCUGCAGCUUCCCAAAUGGCAGCACCAACUGGUCUGUAGCUGCUACAUAGUCUGCUUCUGUUAAUUUUUUAACCACUGUUUAAUCUGGCCAUAAUUAAGUUUGGCUUUCUUCGUUGUUUGAGAUUUUCAGAAUUCAAGGCAAGCUAGUAGAAAGCAAUUCCAAGAAAGUCCCAUGACUGCCUGCCCCUAAUGUCAAAAUCUCAGUCCAUGAGAUUAUGGCCUUGUGACCACAUUUUUGCUUUUGUUUUGGGUGGGCAAAUGUGUAUAGAGAUAAAAUACAUAUCUCUAUAUAACAGUCGUUAUUAUAAUUUCAUGAGGCUUUUUACCUCUUAACAUGAUACAUCUAGGAACUUGGUCUAAUUGUGCUAGUAGAUAUACACUAGAAGUAAAACUAUAAAGUCAUUAGCCUGUAGAAAGUUGAUUAUGAUAACAAUAUGAUAAAAAGUUUGUUUUGGAAUAGUCUCAGCUAGAUGGGUCUAAAUAGCCAUUUUAAUGUAAUCUAAAAAUAACACUAUGCCUAGCAGAAACUUUGGCGCUUUGGAGGUCCCCAUUGUCGCCUUUUCAUAAAAGUCCUUAAGUUUUCCAUAUGUCACCAAGCAAACAUUUGUAUAGGCAUUUACACAGAAAUAUAACCAUUGCAAUUAGAAAAUAUCCAAAAUAGCCUGUUAUCUUCCACGUGGCCUAGAUUAUUGACAAUCCCAAAUAUACAAUUUUUCUUUAAAAGUAGUACAAUUUCCUUUGUAGCUUCAAUUCCUUAUAUGACUUCAGACUGGAGAAGCCUGUUAAACCACUGUUAGUUUCAGUUAGAAAGUCUGAGAGACUUUAUACAUAAAUUCUCAAUUUGGCUGCUGUACACGUGCCAGAGUUUUACUACUGUAGUGACCGUUGAGAAGACCCUUGUUUAUUUACAUUUGAAGCACUGUUUGUGCAAACAACCUUUCAUUGUUAAGUGCCUGUAUUCCUUUCAUUUACUUCAUGUCCAGGGGUGCUAUUUACCUAGAACCAUUGUCUACUACAAUUAACAUUUACAUUACAAAGUGUGUGGUUUUCUUUUUCAAGGAGGUUCAAUUAAGGCAAUAAGAUGUUUGCUGGAGAAACCUAUUGUUUA